UACGAAGGGGGCUAGCGUUGUUCGGAAUCAUUGGGCGUAAAGCGCGCGUAGGCGGCUCGAUCAGUCUGUUGUGAAAGUCAAAGGCUCAACCUUUGAGUGCCGAUGGAUACUGUCGAGCUAGAGUCCGGAAGAGGCGAGUGGAAUUCCUGGUGUAGCGGUGGAAUGCGCAGAUAUCAGGAAGAACACCAAUGGCGAAGGCAGCUCUCUGGGACGGUACUGACGCGAGGAGCGAAAGCAUGGGGAGCGAAACAGG
rnacentral:rRNA from 1 species